ACAUGUGUGCCUCACUAAAAACUCUAUCCCAAAAUCCAAUGAAAAAAUAGGCAUGGAGAAAAGAGCAUGCACACUACUCUAGUCUAUACAUGUGCUAACUCUUGAAGCUUAUAACUCCAAGUGCCUUGAUGUAUUUCCUCAAUAUCUUUGUCUUCAGGUUUUGGUUCCUUUGGAAGCUUCUAUGAUAUGUUUUGUUGGCUUCACUCACUGUCCAAGUCUUCACGUCCAAGACCUUGUUAGAGCAUAGGUCUUCAUCUUUAGGACCUUCUGAGCGUGCAACACUACUAAACAAACUUAACUGAGGCAGACCUUUUGGAUUAACCGAGGCAGGUUUUGCAACCGCCUCGGACAGAAGGUCAUGGUUAAUCGUGGCUUAACUGAGGUGGUUGUCCUAACUGCCUCGAUUAAUCGAUUAACUGUGGCGGGCGACAUAAGACAAUCGCCUUAGUUAAUACAUAUUAACCAAGGUGGUUGGAUAAACACGCCCGCCUCAGUUAAACUUUUAAUUGAGAUAGUUGUAAUAAUGUACUCGCCUUGUUUAAUGUUUUCUAGAUUAAAAAAAAUGUUUUUUAAAUUUGAAUCUAAAUCUGAAUUUCACAAAUGAAAAUACACGUAAAGCAGAUAUUAGAUGACAAACAUAUAUUACAUUCAUUGUUCAAUGAACCAACAUUAAGUUAUUACAUUAGUGAUGUCUUCACAUCAUUGUCUCACUAGCACUUCAUUACAUGAAAAUCUUCAUCUCUAGGACCUUCUUGCAUGAGUACUCUCUUCAGGAACAGGUGUAGUCAUCAUAGUUGAAGUAGUAGUAGUCAUGGUCAAAAGGUUGCCAUAAAGCCUGUAGAUCUGCCCUCAUGAGCGCCUAGUAAAAGGCUUCAUCCCCCGAUUGGGUGGUCCUCAUAUAGCUCCUCAUGGCUGACACUCGUGAUCGUACCCUCUGCUGCGCUUGGUGUAGUUAAUGUAUAGUCAUAGUAGUAGAAGUAGAUGUCAAGACCGAAGUUGUCAGUGAACCCCUUGAGUCAAAGUGGUUGACAAUGGUGUAGUAGACCUCGGUGCUGAAGGAGUUAACUAGCCCCUCAAGCUCUGUGAUGGAGGCAAGUCAUUGUAGUGACCCUUGAAGCUGUUGACAAAGGCUCUCGAGACGCUAUACUGGUCGAAAGUCAACACCGUUAAAUCACAAACGUUCAUUGAAAAUAAAAUGGCCGAUCAAUUUCCGACCAUCAUUUCUUUCUCUUUUUUGGAUAGCACAUGCAUUCCUUUCUCUUUUUGGACAACGCAGAUAUUUCUUAUUUUUGAGUCAUUCACUUCACUUUCUCUUUUGGGACAUUUCAUUCUCCUUUCACUUAUCUUGCUACAUCACACGCGCUGCAGUAUUUUUUUUUCUUUUUUUUAAAGAACCAUGCGCACAUAAAUUAGAAAACUGAAUUAGAAAGCAAAACUUCCACAAAUAACUUAAAAGUGGUAACUUAGUAGUUCUUUGAAAUUCUAUUUUAGAUUUCAUCAUCCUUAACUUAGAUAACUGAAUUAGAUAAUGUAAUUUCAACAAAUAACUUAACAUUGCUAACUUAUUAGUCCCACACAUUCUCUUUUAGGGUUCAAGUAUUUUUUUUUUCUCUUUUCCAAAAAUUAAUUAUUCAGGACAUGAGAAGAGGGUUUAUAAAGGGUGGGGGAUGAAAUAAAAAUAACUUUUACAACUUACACUACAGAGUAAAUUCAAUAAUAUGAUGAUGAAACCUUGCAAAACCAAGAUAAAUAAUAGCUUUUAUAACUUCUGCAACGAUAAUCUCAACAUCUCUGUAACUAUGACAUUAAGCAUAUCUAUUUCUUCAAUUGAAAGAUCUGCAAAAUAUUUAUAUUGUAAUAUUUAAAAAUAAUAAAUAUGAAACAUAAGUUAGAUGCACUACUGUUAAUAGUAAAUUAGAUGUAUAAGUUAUAUUUAAACUUAUAAGUUAUACAACUUGACAAAUGACUUAGAUGUAAAGCUAAGUUAUAUUCAAAACUUAAAAACAGAAAUUAGUAUCACAACAUAUUAGUAAAAAUAUGCUAUAAGUUAUUCUUAUAAGUUAUAACCUAUAAAUUAUAAAUGAUACCAUAAUACACAUAAAAUACUAAUAAAAUACUUUUUUUGAAAUAUAUGCAAAUGGAGUCUAGUUUUGUUCAUAUCUUAUCACACAAAACACAACGGUACAGAUGGAAAGAAAAAU
rnacentral:lncRNA from 1 species